rnacentral:tRNA from 1 species
CGGAGUGUAGCGCAGCCCGGUUAGCGCACCUGCUUUGGGAGCAGGGGGUCGGGAGUUCGAAUCUCUCCACUCCGA